rnacentral:rRNA from 1 species
AACGAACGCUGGCGGCAGGCUUAACACAUGCAAGUCGAGCGCCCCGCAAGGGGAGCGGCAGACGGGUGAGUAACGCGUGGGAAUCUACCCAUCACUACGGAACAACUCCGGGAAACUGGAGCUAAUACCGUAUACGUCCUUCGGGAGAAAGAUUUAUCGGUGAUGGAUGAGCCCGCGUUGGAUUAGCUAGUUGGUGGGGUAAUGGCCCACCAAGGCGACGAUCCAUAGCUGGUCUGAGAGGAUGAUCAGCCACACUGGGACUGAGACACGGCCCAGACUCCUACGGGAGGCAGCAGUGGGGAAUAUUGGACAAUGGGCGCAAGCCUGAUCCAGCCAUGCCGCGUGAGUGAUGAAGGCCCUAGGGUUGUAAAGCUCUUUCACCGGUGAAGAUAAUGACGGUAACCGGAGAAGAAGCCCCGGCUAACUUCGUGCCAGCCGCCGCCGUAA